AGAGCCUGAAUCAGUGUGUGUGUUAGUGGAAGCGUCUGGAAAGGCGCGCGAUACAGGGUGACAGCCCCGUACACAAAAAUGCACAUAUUGUGAGCUCGAUGAGUAGGGCGGGACACGUGGUAUCCUGUCUGAAUAUGGGGGGACCAUCCUCCAAGGCUAAAUACUCCUGACUGACCGAUAGUGAACCAGUACCGUGAGGGAAAGGCGAAAAGAACCCCGGCGAGGGGAGUGAAAAAGAACCUGAAACCGUGUACGUACAAGCAGUGGGAGCCUCUUAAUGGGGUGACUGCGUACCUUUUGUAUAAUGGGUCAGCGACUUAUAUUCUGUAGCAAGGUUAACCGAAUAGGGGAGCCGAAGGGAAACCGAGUCUUAACUGGGCGUUAAGUUGCAGGGUAUAGACCCGAAACCCGGUGAUCUAGCCAUGGGCAGGUUGAAGGUUGGGUAACACUAACUGGAGGACCGAACCGACUAAUGUUGAAAAAUUAGCGGAUGACUUGUGGCUGGGGGUGAAAGGCCAAUCAAACCGGGAGAUAGCUGGUUCUCCCCGAAAGCUAUUUAGGUAGCGCCUCGUGAAUUCAUCUCCGGGGGUAGAGCACUGUUUCGGCAAGGGGGUCAUCCCGACUUACCAACCCGAUGCAAACUGCGAAUACCGGAGAAUGUUAUCACGGGAGACACACGGCGGGUGCUAACGUCCGUCGUGAAGAGGGAAACAACCCAGACCGCCAGCUAAGGUCCCAAAGUCAUGGUUAAGUGGGAAACGAUGUGGGAAGGCCCAGACAGCCAGGAUGUUGGCUUAGAAGCAGCCAUCAUUUAAAGAAAGCGUAAUAGCUCACUGGUCGAGUCGGCCUGCGCGGAAGAUGUAACGGGGCUAAACCAUGCACCGAAGCUGCGGCAGCGACACUAUGUGUUGUUGGGUAGGGGAGCGUUCUGUAAGCCUGUGAAGGUGGCCUGUGAGGGUUGCUGGAGGUAUCAGAAGUGCGAAUGCUGACAUAAGUAACGAUAAAGCGGGUGAAAAGCCCGCUCGCCGGAAGACCAAGGGUUCCUGUCCAACGUUAAUCGGGGCAGGGUGAGUCGACCCCUAAGGCGAGGCCGAAAGGCGUAGUCGAUGGGAAACAGGUUAAUAUUCCUGUACUUGGUGUUACUGCGAAGGGGGGACGGAGAAGGCUAUGUUGGCCGGGCGACGGUUGUCCCGGUUUA
rnacentral:rRNA from 1 species